rnacentral:misc_RNA from 1 species
UGUAAAGUACGCGCACGGCCGCCGGUGAUCCGGCGUGCGUCUAAAAAUGACUUUUAAUGUUACCUAAACAGCCCCCAAUAGUCAAAGUAGAACUAAUUUUAGAUUUGUUAAGAAGUUAAUGGUUCAAUGUCAAUUGUUGUUGUGUAUAACGAUUAUGUCUAGUAAAUAAUCGUUGUUUUUAGAUAUUAUUAUAUCUGUAAGCAGUUAAUCAAGCUAGAAACAAUGCCAGACUGGACAUGGUUGGUGUUGGCGGCGCUGUUCGGCGCGCUGUCCGCGCUGGCGGUGCCACUGCUACUCCUCUUAUAUUUCGUGCGUCCAUUCGAGAAGAAAUCGUCUGUGGAGGAGCAUUAUUGCCUGCCAGUCACUUUACCACCUGAGAUACUGAACGAGUUGACCCGAGGAGCGGGUUGUACUCCAGAGGGCGCUCUGAACGCAAUGCUCCAGUUCAUCUUCCAGCAGAGUACGGCAGACACACGCUGGUUGAGACGGCGUAUGGCCACUGAAUUGGCGGAGCUCCUCGCCAAAACAUCCUCGGGGAAGAUCUUUGAAUCCUUAACACUCCGCUCCCUAGAAGUUGGUACAGAGUUUCCAACUAUUACGAACCUACGUCUACUUAGUGGUGAACUGGAAGACGACGGUGCAAGGCUACGCUCACUCGACUUAAACUUCGACCUUGCCUAUGACGGGAACUUCAAGAUUGAUGUAGAUGCAGUUAUGUUGUUGGGGAAAAUAGCAAAUAUUUCUAUUACAGUCGAAAGCAUAAGUGGGAACGUGAGAAUUAUGUUCAGACGUACUCCAUACACACACUGGGCUCUGGCAUUCGAAACGCAACCUAAACUAGAACUGCGAGUACGUGGUCGCUUCCAAGGCAGACAGCUCAAACCUAGGCUAGCCUCAUUGGUCGCUGCACAUAUCAGACGAGCUAUCGCCCAGAGGCAUACACUACCUAACUACAAGAUACGAUACAAGCCAUUCUUCCCCAAGUCAGAACCGGGAAGUGCUGAGGGGGACGAAGGUCCUACACCUCAGGGACGAUUGACUGUGCGACUAGUAGAAAUUACCCGUUUACAAUGGUCAGGAGCAAAUGGAAAUGUACGAGCAGCUUUAGCUGUCGAUUCGCAUGGUUGGGUAUCCCUUCGGCGUGGCGUCUUAGUCUUGGACAUAGUGUUACCAGCAGUAGCCGGCCCCCUUGGUCUGGUUUGUUGUCAAGGAGUAGGAGUGGUCUUGGUAGAUACUGUGGUACCCAUGUCUCCUGCCUACCGCGCUGACUUGAGGAGAGACGACGUCGUUUUGGCUAUAGAUAAUAAACCAGUGAAUAACGUAGCCCAAGUCGGCAAAUUAUUAAAAUGUGUGGACCGUCGAGCGGUGACUGUGCGCGUGCGUCGUGGUGCACGUCGUGAAGAUGCUCUCACAGCGAGCGGAACUUCAGCCAACAUAACUGCUGCAUCCAAUGAACCACGCCGCAUGCGAACAAACUUCACCUUCCGCCGCGUCUCCGAAGUUAUGGAGGGAGUCCGCCUUCAGGGCAUGAGGGCAGCCACUUCAAGAACUAACUUGCAAGAAACAGAAUCACCCUCGAAAGUAGCUGAACCACAAACUGAAACGGAAACCCAAUCAAAGCAGAAAAGUGAACUAACAAAGCAACCUUCAAAGACAUCCGAACCAAUGGGGCCUAGUAACUUUGGACUACGGAAACGAAGAUGCUCAGUAGAAAACAAGUCUUCCGAUAGCUCCGCAGGCAGUACACCACCAGCAUCAGGCGCCAGUACACCACUACGUCAAGCCACUACCAUAAACAAAACUGUCAAACAUCCAGAAAUACCAAUCAUCCGAACGGACUCCUCAGAAUGUAAAGUCCCUGAAAAAUCCGAAAUACUGGACGAGGAAGAGCAAAUAUUUGAAACUGGAGGACCAAGGCAAAGCGAACACGUAGAAAUCUGUCAAAUGUAUUGGACCAAAAGUAUACAGUUGAAGCCCAUAAUACCUUUUGAUGAAGAGACUGAUUUCAAGUUGAACGAGAAUCACAAGUAUUUGAAUAUAAAUGUUUGGGCAACUGUGCCUGGAGAGAAAGACGAAGUGCUAUUAGGAUAUUUGAAUAUACCUUUAUCGGCUCUAUUAGCUGAAUGCCAAGAUUCCACUGUACCUCAUCAUAUGAAGAGAUAUCAGUUUCUGCCGCCAGAUGUCGAUAUCAAAUUUAGCAAAAGCCACAAAUUGUCAUCACAUCCGGGAUUUGAGCCAUGUUUAUGCUUUGGCGACGCUCUGGUCUGGUGGGAAUGGGAAGGCGUUGGUGGCAAUCGGUCCUCAAGUCGCACUACUGCUCGUGAACCAGCUCUGCCGCGACCGCCGAAGCCGACUCGUGCAACUCACGACUUUGUACGCACGCAUUUCCAUCGAUCGACGCAAUGCGAUUUCUGUAACAAAAAGAUAUGGCUGAAAGAUGCAAUGCAAUGUCGCAACUGCGGUCUAUGCUGCCACAAGAAAUGCGUCGCUAAAUGUCAAGAGUCUUCUCCAUGCGUACCAAAACAAGAUCAAGGGCUUAACUGUCCACCGCCAGAGGUCAUAAUGACGGAACCAGACGCUGCUGAUGCAGAUUCCGAUGAUGAACCUGAGAGAAAAGACUCUUUGGAUGUCCACGAAGAAGACGAAUUGUACGAAAGCUGACGAAGGAUACGGUACCUCGUUAUUAACAUCGGACACUCCCGUCAACUACACACAUAGUUAUAUUCAAGUUUGUCACGGUGGUGGAGCGAUGAGCGCGCUGGUUGCUGGAUUGCGGCGAGCAGGCUCAGCGCACUCACUGUCGGCGCCGAAGACCUGCUCCUCUUCACGUUCCCUACCACCGUCACCCAGUCACACGCCC